rnacentral:rRNA from 1 species
UAGGGAAUCUUCCGCAAUGGGCGAAAGCCUGACGGAGCAACGCUGCGUGAGUGAUGAAGGCCUUCGGAUCGUAAAACUCUGUUAUUAGGGAAGAACAAAUGUGUAAGUAACUAUGCACGUCUUGACGGUACCUAAUCAGAAAGCCACGGCUAACUACGUGCCAGCAGCCGCGGUAAUACGUAGGUGGCAAGCGUUAUCCGGAAUUAUUGGGCGUAAAGCGCGCGUAGGCGGUUUUUUAAGUCUGAUGUGAAAGCCCACGGCUCAACCGUGGAGGGUCAUUGGAAACUGGAAAGCUUGAGUGCAGAAGAGGAGAGUGGAAUUCCAGGUGUAGCGGUGAAAUGCGUAGAUAUAUGGAGGAACACCAGUGGCGAAGGCGACUCUCUGGUCUGUAACUGCCGCUGAGGCUCGAAAGCGUGGGUAGCAAACAGG